UGUGCCCCAACCAGCUUGGGCACAUGUUGUCAGGACUUCCUGGGGCUGUGUCAUGGGCACAUGUCUUUAACUUUGGUAAAAUAAACAUCCCAAAUUGCCUGAGACCCGUUUCAGAUAUUUGGAGUUCACAGGAACUAGUACGAUUGCCAGAGCCCACAGAGUGUAGAGUAGAAGUUGGAGUGCUGGUUGAGACACAUUUUCCAUUUGACAGCCCUUUGUGGAUUGUUUACAGGGGUUUAUGGCAAAAGCCUGUGAGCGCCUCCCAACUACAGCUACAAGUUUCUGGACUAGAGAAUUCCACCUAAGGGCAUUUAUUGCCUUGCUAUGGGACGUUAACUGAAGAUACCCCAUUCUAAUGAAAUAAUGGUGCCUAAGAGUUCCAUGGCAAGAUGAAAAUGGUUUACAUAAAAUCUUGGUACCUGGGGAGUGUGAGGAGGAGAUACUCAUGGACAGUGGGCCUCUUCUUUUCCCUAGGACUGACUCUGGAACUGCAUGAGGAGCUGCUGGAUUCAACAGUGACUGAUGAAAAGCUCUCACCUGAUGCACAAAGACCUGCUUGGCUUGCAGAUGGCAGCUCCAAGGCUGGCUUCUGCAGAAACAGAAGAUUCCUGGAGGAAGAGAGUGAACUUCAGCAAGUUGCACCAAGGAGAAUCUACAGCGGCAGCUGCCCUGCCAGGCACGGGAUCUCAGUCAACGUGGGUCAACACAGCCUCAGGAAGCCCAGAGAGAGCUGGACAAGCUGGACAUCCCAAAGAGCAUGACACUGGCCCUCCACAUUGAUUACACUGUGCUGGUCGGGUGCUAACCAAGAAGUGGCUAACACACUGGGAGUCUUGGUAAGAUGCCUGAGUGCCUGCAGCUGGCGGACAAAUCCUACGAACAUUCUGGGAACUGCCACUAAUAACACUCUUGCCGGGGAGGUCCCAUAACGAGGAGCAUACAGGACCUCCCAUCCACAGCAAAGAGCCAAUUAUUGUAUCUUGCAUCUCCCCCAACCAAGAGAGACAGAAAAUGCCAGUACACCUUCUGCAGGCAGCACAUCCCACACCCGUGAAGACCACUCCAGUCUAUGUACCAUUGAUACGAGAAGCUGUCGGCCUUCACUGAGCCUGUAGCAGGUCGAGGCUGUAGUGUGGGCAGUCCUGUGACUCAGGCCCUGCAGCUGGUCAGACCCUGUGUUAUGAGAGGUAUCAGACGUGGGAAAGCAAUGCUGUGUGUUUAUGGCAAGCCCCUAUGCCAGAAUCGCAGUGCAGGCCCCUGGGAUGUGGGAACAAAGCCAUGCCAUCUGCGGGAGAGGAUUCUGCAAAAUAUUCUGAAAAGUCCCUGCUGAUGUGCUCCUGGGGUCUGGGGUGAUGGAAUGCCUGAUUGUGCAUGUGGACCUGCUCAGAUGAGCUGGAUUCUGUCACGCCCCUGGGUUAUGAGGUUGGGGACUCAGAAAUAACCCAUUACAUGUGGGAGGGUGCGUGUGGCAGCAGUAGAAGCAGGAGCAGGAGGCCAAGCAGUGGCAGUCGCCCAGUACCCUGCCACGCUCCACAGCAGUCCUCAGAGCCCCAGUGGAGGAACCUUCCAGUGAACUGAGGAGGGAGGGACAAGCCUAGCCUUAGUUCACGGAGGUGUCUGCUCCACCUGUGGGGCCAGCCCAAAUCUCCCGGCUGCCAUACUCCAGCCUCACCAGGCUGCCCUUUCAAGAGCGUGAUAUGGUUUGGCUCUGUGUCUCCACCCAAAUCUCAUCUUGAACUGUGAUCCCCACGUGAGGAGGGUGAGACCUGGUGGGAAGUGAUUGGAUCAUCGGGGCGGUUUCCCCCACGCUGUUCUGGUGAUAGUAAGGGAGUUCUCAUGAGAUCUGAUGGUUUUAUAAGUGCCUGACAAUUCCCCUGCUUGCACUUGUCUCUCUCACCCACCACUACGUAAGACGUGCCUGCUUCCCCUGCCGCCAUGAUUGUAAGUUUCCUGAGGCGUCACCAGCCAUGCAGAACUGUGAGUCAAUGAAACCUCUUUUCUUUAUAAAUUACCCAGUCUUGGGUAGUAUCUUUAUAGCAAUGUGAGAACGGACUAACACAGAGGGUGAUGAAGGAACGUUCUCCCAGUGGUCAUCCCCUCUGUGUAAGUGGCUGUGAGGUUAGAAGAUCUCUGAAUCCAUGGGCAAUGGCCAAUGACUUUGCCAGCUGAGCCCAGAAUGGGAGUGAUGUGGAGAGUGGGGAUGGGCAGUCGGGGCUGAGGCAUGGGGUGGACAUGGAGGAGUGGGCAGGAGGUGCAAAGAUCUGUGUGUAACAGGCAGCUGCUCCCAGAAAGCACCUGCCACAGAGGAGGCCUGAACAACCCCUAGGGAAGGUCGGCGUGGCUGUCUGGGCCAAGCGUGAUGGGCUGGUUGUCUCUCUCCAUGGGGGCCCAAGGCUGCCGUCCUCUCUCCCUGUGCCAUCCUCUGCUGCCUCUUUCCCAUGGCCCUUGACCCCAAGGGAACUUCCCGAUGAGCCUCCUGCCUGCUAGGCUCCGAAUCAGUCUGUUUGCUGGGGAUCCGCCUGCUGUACUGCCACCCUUCCAGAGUAGAGAAACCAGAAGUAACUGAGCAGCGCUGACGUCAUAUGGCCAUCCCAAGGUCAAGUUUCUUCCCCUCACGUAUGAAGUUCAUUCUUUCCCUCCCACCUGAAGUUCCCGCCAGUCCUGCCUGAAGUGCUACGGCUGCCCUGGUGAUCUAGGUGGUCUCUCCAUUGUGGGUGGUGCCCAGUGGUCCUCAGUGGGUCUGGACAGGCCCUUUCUGGACUGAAGACCUAUGAAAUGGAAAGACAAGUAAUUUACUUCUCCUACCCAUUUACUAUGAAAUGUGGGAGCAGAGAGAAUAGCAACCAGCCCCAUUCAGAGAGGGGCAGAGUGGCAAGCACAUGGCAAUCGUGGAGUGCAGCCAGCCUGAGGUCCCAGUGUGGUGAAGGAUGCUCCUUGAUGUGGCCCCAGCUCUCCUCCCUAGGCAGGCCCCAGUCCAUGUUCUCAGUGGCAGUGGCUGGCCCUUCCUUUGCUCUGUCCCCUGGGCCACCUGCAUCUCAGGCACUGGAGAGUCCCCACUUUCUCAGUCUCUCUGCCACUCCUCAAAGAAUGGGAGCCCCGAGUUAUUCUUAAGUUUUCAAACAAUCACAAAUACAGUCUGUGAAUUCACCCACUGGGGAAAAUGUAUUUGUAACCCCCACAUCAAUACUCGGGGCACUCCAGGUCACUGGACACACACAGGGGGGUGAAGUUUCAGACAUGGGAUGUGCAUGUUCCAGCUGAGGUUGGACACAGUGAUGUUCUGCCUUCUUGUUCUAGCUCAUCCUGUAAACAUGGGUCUUUCCAUGGUCUCCUUAGUGACAUUCUUUUUUUUUUUUUUUUGGUGGUUUUGCUAAGUUGGCCCAAGCAUAGUGCUGAAGUUGUCCUAAGCAUAGGGAAGCUGGCUGCCAUGCGCCAGACAGAGAAAAAAGGCAUCUUAGAGAAAGCUUUGAUGUUAGUGAGUCAACAAUAUUACACAGGUGUCUUUAAACGGAAACACAUAAAACAGGAUUGGGUGUGGAUUGAUGAAAAUUUAGUGACCAGAGCUCUCAGGAACCUUAACCCUGUUUUUCUCCUAGGAGCAUGACUCAUUCAUCUCUAAUUCCAUGUUUACAGCGGCUUUUCAGAAUAUGAACUGCUGCAGAUAGUGAUAAUUGAUGGUUUUCUUCUAGGUUUAUAGGUUCUUGGGUGUUACCAUCCUCUUAAAAAUGCUGUUUGUUCAGCUUCUUCUGAAAUUAUGGAGAGAGAUGAUGGCAGGCCUCUCGAGGCGAUAGAGCUUACAUGGGAAUGCAUGCCAUACCCUUUAUCUGUUUUUCCCAAGCCAUUGUGUUCACCUGACAUGAUUCACUUCUGUCCACUCAGACACUGUAAUAUUAUUUUAUAUAUAAAAUAUAUAGGCCGGGCACAGUGGCUCACGCCUGUAAUCCUAGCACUUUGGGAGGCCGAGG